rnacentral:misc_RNA from 1 species
UUUAUAAAAUCAGCAGUUUAGAGUUUUUCCAGUUUCCAGUUUCUUAUGUUCUUUAGAGACCUACUUUAGCCAAUAAAGGACCUAAAGGUUAAAUUUUUAAAAAACCAAUGGAGCAAAGUGAUUGAUUUUGUAAAAAGAAGACAUAGUUGUUUAUUACUAAUUUUGCCAUGGAAUAUCACUGCUGUAUUUUAUAGUGACCAAUUUGAGAAAAAAAUGAACUCUCAGCCCAAGACCGACCAAACAUGUCCCAAAAAAAUGCCGCAAAAUCUUUAGCAAACAAGAAA